GCCAGAUUUAGAGUCAGAUUCAGAAAAUGCAGAUGAUCAAACAGAACCAACUUUGCAAUCAUGACUUGAGCAGAACAUUUCACAGAGGCCAAAGUGGACAAAUUGGUAUCACAGGCACCUGGGGAAAAGCAGGCUCACAGAUGCCUGUGAUUGGGAAGUGAAAUGAUGAAGAUUAUCCUUCCCUUGAAAAGCUGCUUCUAAGAGUCAAACUCUGUCCUCGUGAUGAUAGGGUGAAUUACUGCACCACUUGUCAGCCCAUUAAAUGUGUCUUGCAAAUAUAAGAACCUGGCUUCGAGUAAUUUAACUGGUGUUCACAUUUUAAAUCUAUGUUUUUCCUAUUGCUACUUUAAUAGGAACACAUGCAAAUAGUGUGUGUGGGUGUAUGUUGCAUAUGCAUUUGAUUUCUG
ensembl:lncRNA